rnacentral:rRNA from 1 species
CCUACGGGAGGCAGCAGUGGGGAAUAUUGGACAAUGGGGGCAACCCUGAUCCAGCCAUGCCGCGUGAAUGAUGAAGGCCUUCGGGUUGUAAAGUUCUUUUGGUAGGGACGAUGAUGACGGUACCUACAGAAUAAGCUCCGGCUAACUUCGUGCCAGCAGCCGCGGUAAU